rnacentral:lncRNA from 1 species
CUUUUGUUUUUCUUUUUGCUACAGAAAAAUGAUACAGUUAUCACUUUUCGUCCACAAGAGUCAGUUUUUGAACGAUGGAGUCAGAUCCCACUUGAAAUCAAAAAGGAGGCUGGACAGCGGAUGAAAAUCUGUGUCUUUUUGCUUCCUAUUCUAUUGCAGCGGGACGAGUCCAGCAAUGCUGUUUGCUGGGCUGCAGAAAUAGGUCUAAUCAGCUCAAAGUAAGCAUUGCUAGCAGCCAACAAUUUCCUUCCUGACUGUUUCAGGAUGCUAAUAAGUUUGUCAUUGUCUCUUUGUAGGAACACAGAGGACCUACGUCUGAAGCACCUGCGCAAGAUUGAGACAGUGGAGACAAUCCUCAGAGCCUUGGAGCAAGGAUCUUUGAAAAAGGACCAAAGCAAACAUGUUAAACUUGCAUCGCACCGUUGAGGUUUUGGAUGAUGCCUUACACUGGUUGGAGCAAACGGAAGAACCUGACGUACGCACUCGCCUGAUGGAUCUCGGCCACGGACACACCUGCUUCACAGCUCUUCACUUUAUCUUCACAGAGUUUGCCAAGUAUAUUCAAGACAUGGGAGGACGCCAUGAAAAGACCAUGAAGUCACUGAUGGCUAAACCUGGAAGUUAUUCUAUAGAAUAAAUAAUAUAAUAUUGUAUUUAUAUAAUAAUAUAAAGAAAGCCUAGAGAAGGUUCAGCCUCUUCCUCAUAAGCAAGAGGAACAGUUAACUCUGCUCAAGGACAGUAACGAAGAGCUCUCUUUAAAGGUUUCUGAACAGCAGAACCCCAUCAACUCCCUGCCGGCUGAAAACACUCUCCAUGAACAAGUGAAGGAGAGCGAAGCCAGGCUCAGACAGAAGGAGGUCCAAAAGGAGGAGGACGCAACAUCUGAACUCCUCACAAAGGGGUCCUCUAGGAAGGAGCUGAAAAAGGCUAAGAGGCUGCAGAAACAACAGAGAAAGCAGGAGAAUAGAAAGAAAGAAGAGGAACUCCUCACACUCCUGUUCUAUAAAAAAACCAUCGUGGCUGCAGAGACGAGAAGAGUAUGAUGAACCAGACCUGCAGUAUAAAACAAAGAAGAACAAAGUGAAUAAGAGGGUAAAAAUUAAAUUAUAAAUUAGGGUUCAGGACAUAGAGGCCAUUAUAACAACACAACAACACUCUAAAUGAUGGAGCUGAAGCCAUAUGUCCAGCAGUGACCUGAGAGUGACAUCAUUCAGGUAAUAAAAAUAUGAAUCACUGACA